AUACGUAGGGGGCGAGCGUUGUCCGGAAUGAUUGGGCGUAAAGGGCGCGUAGGCGGCCCGGUAAGUCUGGAGUGAAAGUCCUGUUUUUAAGAUGGGAAUUGCUUUGGAUACUGUCGGGCUUGAGUGCGGGAGAGGUAAGUGGAAUUCCCAGUGUAGCGGUGAAAUGCGUAGAGAUUGGGAGGAACACCAGUGGCGAAGGCGACUUACUGGACUGUAACUGACGCUGAGGCGCGAAAGUGUGGGGAGCAAACAGGAUUAGAUACCCUGGUAGUCCACACUGUAAACGAUGAAUGCUAGGUGUAGGGGGUAUCGACCCCUUCUGUGCCGCAGUCAACACAAUAAGCAUUCCGCUUGGGGAGUACGGCCGCAAGGUUGAAACUCAAAUGAAUUGACGGGG
rnacentral:rRNA from 1 species